rnacentral:lncRNA from 1 species
UAAAAAAUAAUGAUUUAAAAAAUGGAGACGGUUCCAGAAGACAUUCUCAGUGAGACCUUGGGCCAGUAGCACCCAGAUGUCUGGACCUAUCCAGUUAAAAUCCUUCAAAGUUGCUCACAUUUUUUGACACAUGUUGCUGUGAAAGAUUAGUGAGCUUUCAAUUUUGUUUUGUUUUGUUUUGUGAGUGUGGGUGCUUACAAAAUAAAGUCUGAAGGGAGUGUUACGCAGAUGCAUUUUAGACUGUGCAACCCGAUCGGUUUGAACUCUGAACGAUCAUAUUAUUUAUUUAUUUGUUUGUCUUUCCUUCUCAAAGACAGUUAAUUACUGAAGCACCGAGAGAGAACAUUUUGUAUUCCUGCUUUGCGAAUGUGCCUCGAAAACCUGAGACUAAUGAGACCAAGUUCUCACCCCAGCUGUGAACUUGCUGACUUUCCUGCUUGGAAACCCGAGCAGAGCUUCUGAACAUUGGAAUGUCCUGGGUCUUGAAGUAUCUGAAGCUUCUUCUAACAGACAAACGGGGUUGGAAAGAUGGCUCAGUGGUGAAGGGCGUGCACUGCUCUUCUCGAGGACCUGAGUUCAGAUCCCAGCACCUACAUCAGAUCACUCUCCAUCACCUGUGACUCCAACUCUAGGGAGAACAAACAUCCCUGGCCUCUACUGGCAUUUGCUCUCACAUGUAUAUAUGUCACCCAAACAUAAACACACAAUUUAAAAUAAUAAAAAUCAAUCU